rnacentral:rRNA from 1 species
GACGAACGCUGGCGGCGUGCCUAAUACAUGCAAGUCGAACGCAUUUUCUUUCACCGUAGCUUGCUACACCGAAAGAAAAUGAGUGGCGAACGGGUGAGUAACACGUGGGUAACCUGCCCAUCAGCGGGGGAUAACACUUGGAAACAGGUGCUAAUACCGCAUAAUUCCAUUUACCGCAUGGUAGAUGGAUGAAAGGCGCUUUUGCGUCACUGAUGGAUGAACCCGCGGUGCAUUAGCUAGUUGGUGGGGUAACGGCCUACCAAGGCUGCGAUGCAUAGCCGACCUGAGAGGGUGAUCGGCCACACUGGGACUGAGACACGGCCCAGACUCCUACGGGAGGCAGCAGUAGGGAAUCUUCGGCAAUGGACGCAAGUCUGACCGAGCAACGCCGCGUGAGUGAAGAAGGUUUUCGGAUCGUAAAACUCUGUUGUUAGAGAAGAACAAGGAUGAGAGUGGAAAGUUCAUCCCUUGACGGUAUCUAACCAGAAAGCCACGGA